rnacentral:rRNA from 1 species
UACGUAGGGUGCAAGCGUUGUCCGGAAUUAUUGGGCGUAAAGAGCUCGUAGGCGGUUUGUUGCGUCGGCUGUGAAAUCCCGAGGCUCAACCUCGGGUCUGCAGUCGAUACGAGCAAACUAGAGUGUUGCAGGGGAGACUGGAAUUCCGGGUGUAGCGGUGGAAUGCGUAGAGAUCCGGAGGAAGACCGGUGGCGAAGGCGGUCUGCUGGGCAGUUUCUGACACUGAUGCGCGACAGCGUGGGGAGCAAACAGG